rnacentral:misc_RNA from 1 species
CAUAUUCUUUAUUUGAUACUUUGAUUCCAACAUUUCUCUGCUGCCGUCCCUCACCAUUGUGAAUUAUCCUUUCCUUUUUUAUUUAAAUAAUGUCAAUUGAAGAUGAUAAAAUGCCAUUGUUAGUCAAGUUAAAUACCUGUAUAGAGAAGAGGUCAUAUUCUGUGUUUGCUGCGAUUCUCAAGUCCGCUAUAUUUGAAUUUUAGUGAAAUCAUAUUUGAGGGAAGUAGGUCUUGAAUAUUACUAAACUCUUA